rnacentral:rRNA from 1 species
CAUGCCGUAAACGAUGAAUGCUAGGUGUCGGGGGUCAAACCUCGGUGCCGCAGUUAACACAGUAAGCAUUCCGCCUGGGGAGUACGGUGGCAACACUGAAACUCAAAGGAAUUGACGGGG